ACAAAAACAGCCAAGUGCCAACACACCUUCUGUCUUUCUAGUUCUCAAAUCAAAAAGUUAGAUUUCUUUGCCUGUCAAUCUUUUGAUGAUUUGAUCGCUGCUACAACCCUCUGCCGGAGCCGGAUGCCCUCAAGUUCUCGUUGUAGUUGUCCCACAUUUUGAACUUCAUUCUCUUUGUCAAUUUGUGCUUUUGUACUUUGUGAUGGUCGGUAUUUGGUGCAUCCAAGAAGAUUCAACGAUGAGGCCUACUAUGAGGAAAGUCACUCAAAUGCUUGAUGGAUCUGUUGAAGUGACUACUCCACCUUUCCCUUAUACUUUCAGCACUACUAUUUAAGAUGAGCCUCAUUGCUGUGCAAUUUCCGCCGCGGUAUAUCUUUAUAUCUAAAUAUAAAGUUGAAGCCAAGGAUGGAUGAAUGUUGUACAUUGCUAUAGAUGUGGUUCUAGCAGCUGAUCAAAAGGAAGCAAAAGGUCCUUUCUUGCUAGAUAAAUGUUACUAUUAGACAUCAUAAGAACAAUUUUGGUUAUAAAAUAUUCGUUCUGAUAUCAUGUCAAAGAAUUUGAGCAUUCAAACCAAAACGUUAAAACAAUAUGCAGAGUACUCCAAAAUCCUUAUCAAUCUCUAUGAGAAACUCAUCACUAGAGAUUAGAUUUGUGCUGGUAACUGUUGAUCUGUAUAUAACUAGUGGAAAGGGGGGAGCUAUGCGUUUUCACAUGUCAAGAUGAACAUGUAAUAAAUUCUGAUCAAGGUUGUUUUACGCUGAGUAUUGUUUU